rnacentral:rRNA from 1 species
CUUGGUGGUUAUAGCAUGAGUGAAACACA